AGAGUUUGAUCCUGGCUCAGAAUCAACGCUGGCGGCGCGCUUAACACAUGCAAGUCGCACGAGAAAGUGGAGCAAUCCAUGAGUACAGUGGCGUACGGGUGAGUAACACGUGGAUCAUCUACCUUUUAGUGGGGAAUACCCCCGGGAAACUGGGGAUAAUACCGCAUAAGCUCGUAAGAGGAAAGCAGCAAUGCGCUGAAAGAGGAGUCCGCGGCUGAUUAGCUAGUUGGUGAGGUAAUGGCUCACCAAGGCGAAGAUCGGUAGCCGGCCUGAGAGGGCACACGGCCACACUGGCACUGAAACACGGGCCAGACUCCUACGGGAGGCAGCAGUGGGGAAUCUUGCACAAUGGAGGAAACUCUGAUGCAGCGACGCCGCGUGAGCGAUGAAGCCCUUCGGGGUGUAAAGCUCUUUCGACGGGAACGAUAAUGACGGUACCCGAAGAAGAAGCUGCGGCUAACUACGUGCCAGCAGCCGCGGUAAUACGUAGGCAGCAAGCGUUGUUCGGAAUUACUGGGCGUAAAGAGUGUGUAGGCGGUGCUCUAAGUCUGUUGUGAAAUCUCCCGGCUUAACCGGGAGGGUGCGGCGGAAACUGGAGUGCUUGAGGGUGGGAGAGGUAAGCGGAAUUCCUGGUGUAGCGGUGAAAUGCGUAGAUAUCAGGAGGAACACCUGUGGUGUAGACAGCUUACUGGACCACUUCUGACGCUGAGACACGAAAGCGUGGGUAGCAAACAGGAUUAGAUACCCCCGUAGUCC
rnacentral:rRNA from 1 species